UGGGAUUCGAACGGCAGGCGGGAAGUGCUCUAGCAGGGGAGUCUGACCUUGUGAGGGAAUACCUGUGUCCCCCCUUUUUUCCCCUUUUUACCCAAUAAAACCCUGCCUUACUCACCCUUUAAAUCAUCUGCGAGCCUGAAUUUUCAUGGCCGUGGGACGGACAAGAACUUUAUCUUCAGCUGAACUAAGAAAAAGUCCUGCAACAUUUUUGGCGCGCAAUGUGGGGGCACCAGAAGCGGGCACCGUUGAGCUGUUGCAACUGUUCUGCUGGAGCCUUAUGUAUGUGGUUGAAACCACCUGUACUACUGGAAUGAAAGCACCUUUACAGAAGAGGCAAUGCAAGUUGUAUUCAUCACAUGUGUAGAAUGAAUUAAGAUUUAUGCCAGUUGCAAAGAAGAAUAUUGGCUCACUAUUUUUCCUCUGGGCAUGUGGAAAUGUAAAUCAGUCCAUGUUACUCACCUCGGAGAAGCAGAAGUACGAUUUACUAUUGUUGCUUGCUUACUUACUCUUAUCAAUUUCUAUGAGAGCUAUUACUAACAAAGAAAAGACUGCUUCUGUAAUACAACAAUAAAUUUAUUGAACUAAAAGUUGAGACUGACAUCUGGGCACAUUGGGCUCCUCAUGCCUCUGAAUAAACAGACAAACAAAUGAGUUACUAUACCAGCAGAGGGGUACAAGCAAUUUUCCAGUCUUGACCCUUUAUCUGUUGACCAAGCUAAGGCAGAAACCAGCUAAAUUCUGGAUUUAAUCUUGAGCAGCAAAAAAGAUCAGCUUUUGAAGUGGAUCUGCUUUUAUUCUUGGCAAAAGUUCAGCGGAGACCAACCAGAGUGGUGACAAAGUUCUUCAACAUCAAGCCAAAUGUAAUACAAGGAAUUACGGAUAGUGCUUAAUCUAAAAUAAAGAAAUUCCACAUCUCCCUAAAAAGUUAUUGGCUUCAAGAAUGAAAACAAAAGAAGCAUAUUUGUCUCAAUCCAAACACAGACACCAGAAAGACAAACCAGGAGUAUACAGCAAAGUAGCUUGCAGGAUAAUACAUUGAAAAAUGUAAUUGUGCAUAAAUCAUGCACAAAGUAGAAACCACAAAUUCUGUAUUUGGCAAGGCUUCGGUUCCUUUGCAUAAUUCUUUCAUUUUCAUCUUGCUGCUUCCAUUCUCUUUUCAUCAAAAAAAGCUACAUAAAACAAAGACAUAAACUGUAUGCAAUUAAAAUGAGAAAAUAGCUGAAAGGAAUGUAUUGAUAAUUAUGUUAAAAUCUAUACCAUAAGUAUUCUUGCAUUGUUAAGCAUCUAAUUUUUCAUGUGUUGACAUCAGCAUCUCAGUUCUCUCUAACAUCUGAAAGCUUUUUUUUUUAAGGCAACUUCUUUUAGAGUGAACAAACUUAUGUACCACCGAGUUGACAAAAGUAUAACUAUAUCCUACAGAAAGAGACCUCAAGUAAACCUCCAGCAGCCAUCUGGACUUCCAUGAAAACAGAACAAUCAGUGAGAUGCAGAGCUUGGAGGAGACAGUUUCCAUAGACUGAAGCACGUGCUGAAGCAAAGUUCACACUUGCAGGAUUAGAAGAGGUUGACCGAAAGAAGGAAGGACAUGGACAGCUAUGUUGUUGUGGAGUCCUGUUUUAUAGUCAUAACCUUGAGUCAAGUGAGUUUGUCUGGACAGACAGAGCUUGUUGCCUUUACUUAUAGGGAAGGCACCGGACACAGACAGCCUCAAGGACAUUUGUUCUAGCCUUUCAGUAUCCUUUCUCUUAAUUAUCUCACCUCAUCCAUGAAGCUGGUAUGUACGAUUUUUCCUUUCUUUCUCAAUCCUUUAAAAAAUUAAAGCUCUAAAUCUCAUUUCCACUUAGAUUUUAAUGUUGCAUUGUAACUUAAGAUAAAACCUUGCUCUGAUGUUAAAAAUACUAAAGUAAGAAGCAAUAUGGCAUAGUGCUUAUGAGCAGGACUACAUAGUUCUUUCUGAAUACAAAUCUCAGAUAAAACACUAUCUCAGUGAUCAACCAGGUUAAGCAACCUUUUUAGUGCCUCAAUUAUUCCAUUUGUAAAAUUGUAAUAAUGAUAGUACUAACCUAUAAGAUUGUGGUGAGGAUUAAGUCAGAUAAUACAAAAGAAGCAUUUAGAGUAUUUCCUGGCAUUAUCUACCAUUUAUUGAAUUUUUAUGGUUAAGAAGAAUAAGGAAAAGCAGAAGAAAAGGAAAAGAGAAAAAAUACAUAAGAAGAAGGAAGAGUGGUAAGCUCUAGUAAAUUACAACAAACGGUAACGUAGAAAACAUUUGUUAGCCCUUAAUAUAGGCCAGGCACUGUGUUCAAUGCUUAAACCUCAUUACUGUUCUUUGAAGUGGAUAACAUUAUUCCUUCCAUUUUAAAGAAAGGAAUACUAAAGACAACUUUGUCAAUAUUAUUCAUGUAAUAAAUGACAGAAUUUGACCAAGACAAUAGAGAAUGAACUCUUAAUCACUAUAUUGUUUUAUUUUUUGAAAAUAGAUUUUAAGUUCUUAUUAAAUGUUAAUGACUCACAUCAAAAUAAAGCCAAUCAAAAUUGACAGCAAU
rnacentral:lncRNA from 10 species